GUCGUCUUGAAAAUGACCUCAAUUCGGAAGCGCCCCCACCCGAACAGACUGUCGAAAAAUCGGCGCGAUGACGAGACGCAGACACGUGUUUUUGACUGGGGACGUUGAAAAUUCGCUUUUUUUGGCGGAGAGGGGCACCGCCGGGCACACACCAAGGGCAUCGUCA
ensembl:ncRNA Y66A7AL.8 ncRNA